GUGAAGUGUGCUCAGUUAGUUCCCUGCUGAAUGUUAUGUUGAAGGACAGCUCUUGGAACAACCAUUCUGGGAAAAACCAGAGGUUUCUAGUAAAUAUUAAUUGUUAACGUCAUGGUGGCCAUAAAACUCAAGAUCAUGGGGAGGAAAUCAAUUGUGGUACUACAGCAUGAUACCUAAAUAACAGAUGAUCUCUUCGUGCAAAGCUGAGAGAGGAAGGAAAGCUCAGUAUGUGAGGUUAUUUUGUUUUGAGGAAUGAAAAAACACCACUAUGAUGGAUGGAUUGUUUAUAGAGGCUUGGGUGUGGUAGUUUGGAUGUCAAGCUAAUGCCAAAUACCAGCCUGUACCCGGUGUGCCAACCUCCCAGUCAACUCUGAACUCAAAGCAAGUUGGGCUAUAAGAUUGUUUACAAGAAGAACGACCCAAGCUUCCAUCGCCUCACGUGUUGUUUUGUACCAUUAUGACUCAUGGAUUACUGUCAAGCCAUUAAAAUCCAACCUUAAAGCGCUUGUCAAGAUAAUCCUUGAGAUAAUCUUUCUCUGCUCACAUUUGUCUAACUCUGCGAAACAAGAUCGGGUUGAAAAGUUUGAGUUGAAAAGUUGAGGGUAGACAUUAUGGCGUUAUUAGAGUUAAAGCCAGUUUGCCAGGGAGGAGAUGGGACAGCCUGUUCUUUCGCCAUAAGAUUCACAACCAAUGUGAGCAUUCUAUUGUGUGAUCAAUUUGACUGGGUGGGACAGUGCUACUGUAGUGUUUCACCAUCAGCUCUGACAGUCAUAGUCUUAGAUUGGCCUGAUACACUAUUGGGUAGCACUUUAUUUGAAUAGGCCAUCUGUAGAUGCUCUACAGACUAUUUGCAGACUCUCAGUAAUAUUUGAAAUAACUAUCUACUAACCCUAGCCCUAGACCUACCCCUAGCCUUAACCCUUAUCCAGGCUGUAUCACAUCCGGCCGUGAUUGUGAGUCCCAUAGGGCGGCGCACAAUUGGCCCAGCGUUGUCCGGGGCAGGCCGUCAUUGUAAAUAAGAAUUUGUUCUUAACUGACUUGCCGAGUUAAAUAAAGGUUAAAUAAAAAAAAUUCAACAAAUGAAGUUAUUCUAACCUUAAACUUAACCUUUACGCUGACCCUAGCCCUAACCCUUACCUAAACCGUAACCUUAGCAAGCAGUUGCUUAUCAACAGAUGGUUUGUUGACAGUAUGAUCAUCUGUAGAACAUCUACAGAUGGACUAUCCAGACAAUCCAAAUAAAGCGUGACACACUACUGUCCUUGGAGAGCCUUGUUGCUGGAGAGGUGAGUAGAGAGAGAGGCCACUGAGGACAUUCUCCUGACAGUCCUUCCCACAAGCACGUACUUACACAGGCAACAUUACAGACACUCCUCAGCCACCCACAGUAUUACUCUCACACAACCAGUCCAAAGAAAUAACACACUUUUAGUAACAGCAAUAUAUAUAUGAUGACCAGAUACACUUGAUUUAAAAAAAAUAAAAAAUUAAAUGACGAUCUACCAAAAAUGCAAAAGGCCUCUGCGAGGACGGGGGCUGGGAUUCAAAAGAAAUGAAAUGUAAUGAAAUAAAAAUGUUGUGAAAUGUGUUGUUUUACAGGGUCAGCCGUAGUAGUAUGACACCCCUGGAGCAAAUUUGGGUUAAGUGUCUUGCUCAAGGGCACAUCAACAGAUUUGACACCUUAUGGGCUCAGGUACUUCAACCAGCAACCUUUCAGUUACAGGCCCAACACUCUAACCGCUAGACAACCUUCCGAACUGCCACCCAGUUUACUAUGUAAGAGCAUGAGCAUUCCCUCAUCAGCUCAGCACAUGGAGAUGCCACAGGGCUUGGCGUGGCAGGAGUGGGUUGAGUAUGUUCAAACAUCUCCCGUGGGACUGAGACCCUGUUUACCCCUGGAGCUGAUUAACACUCUCUCUAUGAACCUCUGACCUGCCGUACGAUCUCUGGAGGCUUGUUCUAAAUCACGUAAAACACACACGCGUGCACACAUACACAGGCAUUACAAGCACAAACAGACUGCUUGACAGAUCUGCUCGGGUAGUAAUUCUCUCCUCUGUAUAUUGAACACUGACUACAUUACAAGCGUCAAACAUUUUCUAUGCAGAUUGUGGAACACUCCUACCCACCAACCUGGAAACAGUGACACAUCACUUUGCAUUGAACCAAACUGACUGUGCAGGCCCUUGUGCUUGAGCAGCUGAAAGGAGAAUCCCCCUCAAAAAACAACAAAGCAACCAAAAAUCAUGUCCUCAGAGUAAUCUGUCUCUCUCUUUCUGGCAGGAAGUCACCGAGUCACUGAGGUAAUGGUGACAGCCCAUGCCAAAAAGGCGAGCAGUCACCAUACUUACACUUAGAAAUCCCAGAGGUAUUCAGCUGUGGGAGUUUAUCUGUCACACUCUCCUCUCACCUGCUGUCCAUCCACCUCCCCACCCCUGCUUUCCUCUUCUCUCCUCCUUCCAUCCAUCCUUUCAGCCAUCCAGACGAGCUGGGGGAGAAAGAGAUGGUGUACGUGCAGAGAGAACUGCAGCCCGUGGAGAAGUGAGGCUCCCCGCGCUGUCAGGCAUCAGUUCCAGGCAGCAGCAACCAGUGGUGACCAGGCAGUAUGGAAAGAAAAGGAACAGGUGAGAGACCAAUUAUUCUAUUCUAGUCUUGUCUGAUUUCUCUAUAUUAUUCAUCCAUAUAACCCCACUAAUAGCUACAGUUUGUAAUAACUACGAUUCAGCGGCAGUGCUAGGACAGUAAAUCCUUAAAUCGGUCUUCACAUCAAUAACGGUUCUUUCUUUUGUCAGAUCGUUUAUAAUGCAGGGAGAAAUACAGAGAUCAUCUUUCCCAUAGAUCAACGCCCUCUCUGUUACAUGGCCAGUCCAACUACACAGCUAAAUGAGGUUCAAGUUGCUUUUCAGAUAUUUGAAGUUGACUAAGUCAGAGAUGGUUUAGCCUUACAGGAUCGUGACUAGGGGCAGGAUGUACUGAAUGGCAAUGAAAGAGCCUUGCCCUAGCCAGAGGAACUCGACUCUAGCACACAGGGCAGAGUAUCAAUGUCUCGACUCAAGUUGCAAAUACAGAAACAGUGUCAGUCACCUGAGACCAAUAAGAGGGGGUGGUCUGGCCAGAAACACCCAGCUCUGUUUGGGCCAAUUCCAAACACCAGUGGACUGGGACUGUCUGGGAGUCAGAAGGGAGAGAGAGGACGCUUCUUCAGCAUGCCUGGAGCGGAGGAUAGUGCUCGCCUGCCAGGGCACUGGAGAGACGUGAGGGAGUGGAGCAUAGAGAAGAGACAGAGACACAGAAUGUGGGUCCAGGAUGUAGAAAAUGUCCUCAGUUCAAUGGCUAGGCAACUGUGUGCUUCCCUGGAUAAAUAUCCUCGCCACGAGCUUGGGGAUGGCUCAAAACACUUCUCCCCUUCCUUCCAAGACUGGUUUCCCUCCCGUCAUCCAGCCCUUACUUACAGACAGUUAUAGGUCCUCUGCACCCACAGACUGAAGAGCUAAGCCAUGGACCACAUUGCUCAGCAGCUAAAAUGGACAAUAGCAGCAUGAAGCCUUCCUCAUUGAUUGAUUUGAAAUGUUUAUUGGUGUGAAUCAUCUAGAAACCACCACAGGUAGUGCUGCCACAGAGGAGGAGUCAAAGAUCUUCAGUUAUAUACCAGAGACGCCAAAGCUCAUGAAAAUACAUUUCUAACCUUGUCCGACUCUCCCCAUUUUAGGGUAUGCAUUGAAAGCAAAGAGGAACAAAGGUGAUGCAACCAUUCCAAAGCAUGAUGUCUACUCCUCUAUGAUAAGUUGCUGUUUGACAUUCUGGAGAGGUGUAAUCAUAUAAAGACACAGAUGUCCUCCAAGAGUUACACUCUAAUAAAGGAUGAUGGAAAGUCAAACAGAGACCAGAGUUUACAGUCUGACCUUCUCUGGUCCAAGAGGCUGGAGACCACACCACCCUCCCGUCAAUUAAAUAAACAAGUGAUUUGUCUGAGCUACUCUCUGUUGUAUCUUUGUCUGAAAAUGUUGGUAGAGUUCGAAAUCUGGCAGUGGAAACAGAACACACAACAUAUCAGUAGGUGCACCUGCAGACCACUUGACUAAGUAUCCAUUUGAUAGGUUAUUGAUUCUAUUGGAGGCUCUGUGGCUUAGGAGGGAAAUGGGACUGUGUGGUUGGUAGUUGAAUGAUUUCUUGGAAGCAGAUAUGAUUUGGUGUCUAUAUAUAGGGUCUCAACAGACGGAGCAGUGCGACCUGUACUGUGUCAGCUGACUUCCUGGUCCCUAGUCUCCUCGGCCCCCAAAUGAGAUCGAAGACGCCAUGCUUCCUGGCUGAUUAAAUAAAUGAUUGAAU
rnacentral:lncRNA from 1 species